rnacentral:tRNA from 1 species
GGGUCCAUAGCUCAGUCCGGUUAGAGCGCUCGGCUCAUAACCGAGUGGUCACCGGUUCAAAUCCGGUUGGACCCA